GACUAGUAAUGUGUGCUUCAGGUCAAGGAUCGUCUUUGAUUAUAUGUGUGAGAAUAUUGACUGGCUACACAGAUACAUUAUACAAGGACUUGAGUGGUAAGACACUACUUCAGCUUCCAAAACUCUAUGGUGCAGGCCAUAGACAGGAGAGUUACAAUAUGUACCUUUUCUGGAUCACAAUGUUUGACACACUAUGGCAGAGCCUUGUUCUCUUCUAUGUACUUUUAUUCACCUAUAGGGAGAGCACUAUUGACAUAUGGGGCAUGGGAAGUUUGUGGACGAUUGCAGUUGUUAUCCUAGUUAAUAUGCACUUGGCAAUGGACAUUAAGCGGUGGUUGCUACUUACUCAUUCUUCAGUUUGGGGAUCAAUAAUCAUUACUUAUGCCUGUGUGGUGGUAUUGGAUUCUAUACCCAUCUUCCCCAAUUACGGGACAAUAUACCAUCUGGCAAAGUCACCUGCAUAUUGGCUCUCCGUCUUGGUUAUAAUAGUCUUAGCAUUACUCCCUCGCUUUAUUUGGAAAGUUAUACAUUAAAAUUUUUGGCCUUCAGAUAUCCAGAUAGCUAGAGAAGCUGAGAUACUGAGAAAAGAACCUAAUUAUUUUGGGUCUAAGCCAGAUCUAGGUUCCAGUUAAUAUGUAUAUUAUUAACUGAUCCAAUUUGCUAUGACCUGGCCAGAGUUUGUCCAGCCAAAUGUGAAAUUUAAUGACAUAUGGCAUGGUUUUUCUGGACAAAGAGGUAGCGUGACGGACCUUAAAAUAUGUGUUCACAUUAUAUUAUAUAAUAAUAUAAAUAGUAUAGAUGUAUGUAUUGUAAGUUCAAGGAAACUUAUACCAUGAGAAAUAACACACAGAUUUCAUGAUAAAAUGGGCAGUUCAGAGAUCAGUUAGUCUUCCUACCACAUCAUGUAGCGGUAAUACAUCACAUGGCUCAGUUUCAGCUGGUACGUAUAAGUUUUUGACUUUUUAGUAGUAUUUGUAUAGUAUACUUCAAUUGAAAUCAAAUGGACAUGACUAUCACAGUUUAUUUGUUUAUUUGUUUGAUCAAUUACAGAGAAUUUUAUUAAUCAUUAAAUAUGAUUUUAUAUUAUUUUUGGUGAUUGAUCUCCUUGUGCCAUUGUGCGAUGUGUUCAUUGUUUUGUUCAAUUACGAAGGAAUCUUAUCAUGACAAAUUGACAGCUUGUCUCAAACCACCCCCACUCCCUCUCUUACUUUUGCAACUGCUUGUCUCUUACUACAUCAGCAUAAUUUGCCAAUGCCUGAACUCUCCUCUAAAACCUCUUGAUAUGCUGCCACUCCUAUAACAUCAAAAGGAUUUGACCCCUAUCAAAUGCAUAGAAAUAUUACAGAAACUAGUGGGGUGGCACUCAUUACAUGAGUGCAAGUGCCACAAAGAACCACUAAGUUAGCCAAUUUUUGAACAAUAGUGCAUAGAGAGAGAGAAAGAGGUGUACUAAGUAGCCUCUUAAUUAGGAAAGAGAAUUUUUAAAACUAACUGGGAGUUCUAGGCAGUUGUGGGGAGUUCUUUAGAAUAAUGUGUUUACUUGAACAUUUACCCUCAAAUGAAUAUAGAAGUAAAAGGAUUUUAAUAAUGCAUAAUUUAAUUUUCUUUGGAUAGUUUAGGGAAAUGAAAAAUAUACACAAAAUUAGUGUUCUACUUUUAUAUAUUAGCAAAGAUGACAUGCUUGACAACUGAAGUAAAAACGAAACUAAAGCUAUUAAAAGUACACAUGAUGAUAAUAUAUAUGCAUCAAUUAUGAAGUGCACAAUGCUCUAAUGGAGAUGCCAUUAAAGUUGUUGCAUGUUGACAUUGCUAAUAUUGGUGCCAAAUUUAGUACAAGUCUUGGCAGAUUGUUAGAUUUUGGAAUUGCUAUCAACGGUUAGAUGCAUUUUCUAUUAUUUAUGAUUACUGAUAUCAACUUCUCUCUCUCUCUCUCUCUCUCUCUCCCCC